rnacentral:tRNA from 1 species
UGGUCGCUAGCUCAGCAGGUCAGAGCGCACCCCUGAUAAGGGUGAGGUCCGAGGUUCAAGUCCUCGGCGACCAACCA